rnacentral:pre_miRNA from 1 species
UGUUUAAAACUACAUCCAUUUGUUCUGUUAAAACUUGAUAUGACUAACAAAAAAAUCAGACAAUGACACGUGAUAUACCAUGUGUACCUCAUGCCAACAUAUAAAGACCAAUUUUUUAUAGUAAAAUUGGAUGAAACU